AAUAAUCAAAAUGAAAUGGAGUCCUAUCUUUUAAGCUUUUCCUUAAACUGACAGAAGCAAGGGAUCUUACUAGAAACAAUAGAAGUAUUAACAAUUAUUCAAACGGAGACAGAAUUUUUAACAGAUUUUAAGAACCUUGUUCAUGAGAUCCAGCAUUGCCAGGUAUAAAAAGUACUGGUAUUCCUGAGAAGUACAUCCUUCUAAGCUUCUCGGUAACAAAACCUUCUCCAUAGGCGUAUAAUCUGUAUCUUGGAUAUUGUUCUUGUAUCUCAUUAUCCAAAGAGAUUCUCUAAUAUUUAUGGUCAUAUAAGCAAGUCUGGACACUCCUAUAUCGUAAACAUACAAGAAACCGUCCGAAAAUUGAGUCAAGAAAAAUCAAUAUGGAAGACACGAAGGUUCUCGUUCUGCACAUGCGUGACGUGCUGUGAAUGUUUCAGACCGAGGCAGAGAUACUCUACUCAUAUCUGUCUGUCUUGCAGAACGAGACCCUUCAUGUAUUCCAUGUUGAUUUUUCACAACUCAAUUUUUGAGCGGUUUUCUCUAGCGAAUGUAGAGACCUAUUUGUAUAGGAUAGAGUGGAAAUUGUAGUAAAACUGGAUGGGAUUAUUGUACAUGAAAAAAUAAAAGAAAAUUUAGUAUAACAUUUUUCA
rnacentral:misc_RNA from 1 species